AACCUCAUCAACCAGAAGGGAUUCCUUCUGGUUGAUGAGGCAUAAUAACUUCAUUGACCAGAAGGAAUUCCUUCCGGUUGAUGAGGCA
rnacentral:miRNA from 1 species